rnacentral:rRNA from 1 species
GACAGAGGGGGCAAGCGUUGCUCGGAAUUACUGGGCGUAAAGGGCGCGUAGGCGGGAUGGCAAGUCGGUCGUGAAAUGCCUCGGCUCAACUGAGGAUCGUCGAUCGAUACUGCCGUUCUUGAGGAUUGCAGAGGAGACUGGAAUUCCCGGUGUAGCGGUGAAAUGUGUAGAGAUCGGGAGGAACAUCAGUGGCGAAAGCGACUUCCUGGACCAAUACUGACGCUCAUGUGCGAAAGCGUGGGGAGCAAACAGG